CCCCCCCCCUCUAGUGAACAUAUAUUCUUGUUUGAAUUGGAAAAAUUCCUGGCACGUCUUGCCAACCCAGGACAGGAUGGCAAAACAACUCUUGCGUAACAAUCGUUUUCAUUUAAGCAUAUCCACAAUUCUAGACGCAUAUUACAAUGUUGUGGGUGUCAUCAAUUGGAUAUAAUUAGCUUUCCCUUUUCAGAAAGUAGAAAAAGAAUAAUCCAAAUGGAAGCAAAAUUCGAAUAUGGUUAUGCUGUUCUUCUUUUCUUUUGUAUUGACACUGUAGAAUGAUGAAAAUUUCUAUGACACGGCCAUUAGCCCAUAAAGAAAUCGUCUAACAUGCAGCCAGUAGCCAUAGCAUAAUUAGAGAUGAUAUUGCAAUAGUUACCCAGCUCAAAAAGGCCAAUGCAACUGACAUUUGGUACUUUUCGCAUUCCCUCAAAUAACUACAGUGUCCAACAUCAUGAAACAGGAGCACUGUGAUGCCUGCCGAGGCAGAAGCUGCUGCUAGAGACAACGUUGCUGUUACCCAAUCUCCCACUACGAAAAGGCUGACUAAAAUAGAAUUGUGGAGAACCUUCUUCCGGACCAAGGCAUAUGCAUCUAAUAAUGCAAGCCCAAAGCUCCAUAUGACUUGCAAACCCAUUGAAGCUAUAAGAUAGCAGAAAGCAGUGAAAUUGAAGAAGUUGGAAGUGGUGGCCAUGGCAGUAAUUGAGCCCACUGCAAAAAUACACUGCGAAAUCCUCAAAGCAAGAGCAGUCAAUGUUCCCGGAGUCCCAGCAAAAUCCUUCAUUUUUUUUUUUUUUUUCUGUUUCUUUUUUUGAGGCAUCCACCAAACCCAGUAAAUUUCAGCCUCUUAGUUUAUCAAUGAAAAUACCCAUCUCCCAAAAAUCAACCAGAAACAGAAAAGCAAAGACCUUUCAACUCGAAUCACCAAUCUUCACUGAGAUUGAA
rnacentral:misc_RNA from 1 species